UCCUGGUUAGUACAAUGGUUAGUAUAGGACACUCUCACUGUUCAGAUCGGGGUUCGAUUCCCCGGCCGGGAA
rnacentral:tRNA from 1 species